AGAGUUUGAUCCUGGCUCAGGAUGAACGCUGGCGGCGUGCUUAACACAUGCAAGUCGAGCGGAAAUAUUUUAAAUGAAGGCUUCGGUUGGUUUAGCGGCGGACGGGUGAGUAACGUGUGGGUAAUCUGCCCUUUACUGGGGAAUAAUCAUUUGAAAAGAUGACUAAUACCGCAUGUCGUCACUAAGGGGCAUCUCUUGGUGAAAAAAGGAGUAAUCCGGUAUAUGAUGGACCCGCAUCUGAUUAGCUAGUAGGUGGGGUAAUGGCCUACCUAGGCGACGAUGGUUAGCGGGUCUGAGAGGAUGAUCCGCCACACUGGCACUGGAACACGGGCCAGACUCCUACGGGAGGCAGCAGUGAGGAAUAUUGCGCAAUGGGGGAAACCCUGACGCAGCGACGCCGCGUGAGUGAGGAAGGCCUUCGGGUCGUAAAGCUCUGUCAAGAGGAAAGAAGUGUACAAUGGCUAAUUACCUUUUGUGUUUGACGGUACCUCUUAAGGAAGCACCGGCUAACUCCGUGCCAGCAGCCGCGGUAAUACGGAGGGUGCAAGCGUUAUUCGGAAUCACUGGGCGUAAAGGGCGCGUAGGCGGUUUGUAAGUCAGAUGUGAAAGCCCACGGCUNAACUGUGGAAGUGCACUGAACUGUCAUCUUGAGUAACAGAGGGGCAGGUGGAAUUCCAGUGUAGCGGUGAAAUUCGUAGAUAUCGGGAGGAAUACCGCGAAGGCGACUUUCUGGCUAGAUACUCACGCUGAGGCGCGAAAGCGUGGGGAGCAAACAGGAUUAGAUACCCUGGGGAGUCACGCUGUAAACGAUGUGAACUAGAUGCAGGGGGUGUUGAUCCCUGCUGUGUCGCAGCUAACGCAUUAAGUGAUCCGCCUGGGGAGUACGGUCGUGGCUUGACAUCCUGGGAAUCCUGCAGAGAUGCGGAGUGCCCUUCGGGGAUCCAGAGACAGUGCUGCAUGGCUGUCGUCAGCUCGUGCCGUGAGGGUUGGGUUAAGUCCGCAACGAGCGCAACCCCUAUUCUCAGUGCCAUCACAUGGUGGGCACUCUGUGGAGACUGCCCGGUUAACGGGAGGAAGGUGGGGAAGCGCAACCCUUGCCUUUAGUUGCCAGCAGUUCGGGCUGGCCACUCUAAAGGGACUGCCGGUGUUAAACCGGAGGAAGCGAGGUGACGUCAAGUCCUUAUGGCCCCUAUGACCAGGGCUACACACGUCCUACAAUGGCCGAUACAAAGGGCAGCGACACUGCGAGGUGGAGCUAAUCCCAUAAAAUCGGGCUCAGUCCGGAUUGGAGUCUGCAACUCGACUCCAUGAAGUUGGAAUCGCUAGUAAUCGAGGAUGGACUAACCCUUGGGAGGUAGGCGCCUACGGUAGGGCUGGUAAUUGGGGUGAAGUCGUAACAAGGUAACC
rnacentral:rRNA from 1 species